AGCGAACGCUGGCGGCAGGCCUAACACAUGCAAGUCGAACGAAGUCUUCGGACUUAGUGGCGGACGGGUGAGUAACACGUGGGAACGUGCCUUUAGGUUCUGAAUAACUCAGGGAAACUUGUGCUAAUACCGAAUGUGCCCUUCGGGGGAAAGAUUUAUCGCCUUUAGAGCGGCCCGCGUCUGAUUAGCUAGUUGGUGAGGUAAAGGCUCACCAAGGCUACGAUCAGUAGCUGGUCUGAGAGGAUGACCAGCCACAUUGGGACUGAGACACGGCCCAAACUCCUACGGGAGGCAGCAGUGGGGAAUCUUGCGUAAUGGGCGAAAGCCUGACGCAGCCAUGCCGCGUGGAUGAUGAAGGUCUUAGGAUUGUAAAAUCCUUUCACCGGUGAAGAUAAUGACUGUAGCCGGAGAAGAAGCCCCGGCUAACUUCGUGCCAGCAGCCGCCGUAAGAC
rnacentral:rRNA from 1 species